GAGAUCAAGACCCUGCAUCUCAACAGAAUAAAGAUUCUGCCAUUAAACAGCUGACAGGUCAGACAACAUACACUUUAUUUGUUUAUGUAAAUACACAGCCAUUUUUCAUGAAUAGAGUACAAAAUAAGAACAAAAACUAUUAUAAAAUCCAUUUUUAACCAGUAGUCACUGAAAGCAAGCACUUGAUCUUGUGAAAUCAUUAUUUUACUGUUUAGCGUUUUAUUUAUUCAGGGUUUUACAUAUAUAUAUAAAGGAAUUUGUGCUUCUAAUGCUUUUAAAAAAUAACAGUAACACUUUAUAAUAAUUUUCUAUUUGCUAACAUUACUUAACUAUAUUAGUUAACAUGAACUAACAAUAAACAGUUGUACUUUUAUUAAUUUACUAUUAACAAAGAUUAAUAAAUACUGUAACAAAUGUAUUGCUCAUUGUUGGUUAAUGUUAGUUAAUGCAUUAAUUAACAUUAACUAAUGAACCUUAUUUUAAAGUUUUACCAGAAUAACAUUUACAUUUUUGAGUAAACUGUAUUGAUGAAAAGUACAUCUAUUGUCAGAAUAGAGCUGCUGUGUGCUGUAUGUUGAAACUUUUUUAGGGUUAAAGAAGGAAAUGACACACGGAAGGAUAAAACUAGUCUGGCAUGGCAGCGAGAGAUAAUUAUAGUGUAUAGAGAAAAAGCUACAAAAUAUCUCACACCUAUUAAUAUAACAGCCACAUUUUAUUUUAUUUGAAUUAUAUUUUAAUAAUUUACCUCAGAGUCUCAAAAGAAAAAAAAAAACACUACUCCAAUAUUUAAUCUAAUUGUGUACAUUUAUUGAUUAAUUUUUUUCCUGCAGAUUUCAAAGAGCAGAACUUUAUUCAAGGCAGUGAUGUGAUUUUACAGUGUGGCAAUGCCACUGUUAUCAGUUGGAAUGAAUUAAUUUAUAUUGUCUGGAACAUCAGCCUGGAAGGCAGAAAAUGUUGGCUGGGUUUGUCACCCAAGCUGGACGACACAUGUAAAGAUGGAAAGAGGCUGUUAAACACCUCAGAUGGAGUUUCUUUAGUCAUUCCCAAGAUUUCAACAAGAGAUGAAGGAUUUUAUUCGUGUGAUGUAUCAUAUAAAGCAGGAAGCUAUGCUGUAAAUGUGUCUGUAAGCGUUACCCAACUUUUCACCAAGCAGAGUGAAAACAAUCAAAGGAUUGCUGUCUGUCAGGCCACAUACACACAAAAGACAGCACCCACUCUUCACUGGGAACCUGCCUUGAACUUUUCCUCCAGUAACAGUUCUGUAAAGAAGCAUGGCAGGUUUUUUACGAUGGAGAAUCAAGUAUAUCUGCCGGACAAUGUCAACAUCAGUGAGCUCAUCUGUGUGGCCACAUACUCCUCCGAGUCCGGCUCUGUUCAGCACAAGAGCACACUUCAUCUUAAAAUUUCACACAGCGGAACACAAGAAACUUCCUCUUUUCCAGUGAAAAUUAUUGCCAUAUCAGUUGGUUCUACAUGUAUUUUUUUUUUUGUUGUAUCUCUGGCCGUGGUUUACAUACUCCGCAGAAAGCUUUACAACUUAAGUGCACUGAAGAUGCUUUGCUGCAAAUCUAAAAUCUCAACACCAUCUGAAGACAAACCACCCCAACCCGCUGAUGUUGAAGAGGUGGAACCCUAUGCAAGCUACAUACAGAGAGUCAACUCCAUCUACAACUCCUCAGCUGAGCUCUUCAACGCCUGA
ensembl:lncRNA